rnacentral:rRNA from 1 species
UUUGAAAUCUGGCGUCCUUCGGGCGUCCGAGUUGUAAUCUAUAGAAACGUUUUCCGUGCCGGACCGUGUCCAAGUCCCUUGGAACAGGGUAUCAGAGAGGGUGACAAUCCCGUACUUGACACGACGACCGGUGCUCUGUGAUACGUUCUCUACGAGUCGAGUUGUUUGGGAAUGCAGCUCAAAAUGGGUGGUAAACUCCAUCUAAAGCUAAAUAUUGGUGGGAGACCGAUAGCGAACAAGUACCGUGAGGGAAAGAUGAAAAGCACUUUGGAAAGAGAGUUAAACAGUAUGUGAAAUUGUUGAAAGGGAAACGAUUGAAGUCAGUCGUGACCGUUGGGUUCAGCCGGUUCUGCCGGUCUACUCCCUUCGGUCGGGUCAACAUCGGUUUUGACCGGCGGAUAAGGAAGGGAGGAAUGUGGCACCCUCCGGGGUGUGUUAUAGCCUCUCGUCGCAUACGUCGGUCGAGACCGAGGAACGCAGCUCGCCUUUAUGGCCGGGGUUCGCCCACGUCCGAGCUUAGGAUGUUGACAUAAUGGCUUUAAACGACCCGUCUUGAAACACGGACCA